rnacentral:rRNA from 1 species
UACGAAGGUGGCAAGCGUUGUCCGGAAUUACUAGGCGUAAAGGGCAGGCAGGCGGAUCCAUAAGUUUAUCGUUUAAGGCGUCGGCUUAACCGGCGUAGGGCGGUAGAUACUGUGGACCUGGAAUGCGGUUGGGGAAGACAGAAUUCCUGGUGUAGCGGUGGAAUGCGCAGAGAUCAGGAGGAAUACCGAAGGCGAAGGCAGUCUUCCAAGCCGUUAUUGACGCUCAACUGCGAAGGUGUGGGUAUCAAACAGGAUUAGAUACCCUGGUAGUCCCUGA